ACAACGGAACUGAAUGGGAGCUCAAGCUUCAGCUCCCAUCAGAUCCGACUUCUGACGCGGAGAGCUCUGCUCUUCUUUUGCUUCCUGUCGGUGAAAGAUUAGAAAACAGAGCAACAAGAUAACAAAAAAAUGCGUACGGAUGGAG
ensembl:ncRNA R12H7.6 ncRNA